rnacentral:rRNA from 1 species
AAAGCGCGCGUAGGUGGUUUGUUAAGUUGGAUGUGAAAUCCCCGGGCUCAACCUGGGAACUGCAUUCAAAACUGACUGACUAGAGUAAGGUAGAGGGUGGUGGAAUUUCCUGUGUAGCGGUGAAAUGCGUAGAUAUAGGAAGGAACACCAGUGGCGAAGGCGACCACCUGGACUAAUACUGACACUGAGGUGCGAAAGCGUGGGGAGCAAACAGGAUUAGAUACCCGUGU